rnacentral:rRNA from 1 species
GUGGGGAAUAUUGGACAAUGGGCGAAAGCCUGAUCCAGCCAUGCCGCGUGUGUGAAGAAGGUCUUCGGGUUGUAAAGCACUUUUGUUGGGAAAGAAAUCCUGUCGGCUAAUACCCGGCGGGGAUGACGGUACCCAAAGAAUAAGCACCGGCUAACUUCGUGCCAGCAGCCGCGGUAAUACGAAGGGUGCAAGCGUUAUCCGGAAUCACUGGGUUUAAAGGGUACGUAGGCGGUUAAUUAAGUUAGUAGUGAAAGACUGUCGCUCAACGACGGAUGUGCUAUUGAUACUGGUUAACUUGAAUCAUGAUAGAGUUGUCGGAAUGGGUCAUGUAGCGGUGAAAUGCUUAGAUAUGACUUGGAACACCGAUAGCGAAGGCAGCUGACUGAGCCUUGAUUGACGCUGAGGUACGAAAGUGUGGGUAGCGAACAGGAUUAGAAACCCGUGUAGUCC